rnacentral:rRNA from 1 species
CCUACGGGUGGCAACAGUGAGGAAUAUUGGUCAAUGGACGAGAGUCUGAACCAGCCAAGUAGCGUGAAGGAUGACUGCCCUAUGGGUUGUAAACUUCUUUUAUAUGGGAAUAAACUUUUCCAUGUAUGCUGUUUUGUAUGUACCAUAUGAAUAAGGAUCGGCUAACUCCGUGCCAGCAGCCGCGGUAAUACGGAGGAUCCGAGCGUUAUCCGGAUUUAUUGGGUUUAAAGGGAGCGUAGGUGGAUGGUUAAGUCAGUUGUGAAAGUUUGCGGCUCAACCGUAAAAUUGCAGUUGAUACUGGCAGUCUUGAGUGCAGCAGAGGUGGGCGGAAUUCGUGGUGUAGCGGUGAAAUGCUUAGAUAUCACGAAGAACUCCGAUUGCGAAGGCAGCUCACUGGACUGUAACUGACACUGAGGCUCGAAAGUGUGGGUAUCAAACAGGAUUAGAUACCCUGGUAGUC